GCGUAACUCAAAACAGCGGGUGAGUGAUUAAGAGUUGAAUUGGGACAGGAGGUAUAAAUGCACGUCGCAGCCCAAAUACUGGUUUCCUGUGUUCAGUAAAGUGAGGUCAUGGAUAAACCAAAUGUAUUCUCUGGUGUGGCUAAAGCCCAAAGUGUUGAGGGAUCCCCUCUCCUGGAUCUGGAUACAGGCCUCUUUUUGGAUCCUGGUUCAUCUAUUUCUGUGCCAUCCUUUGACCUACAGCAGAGUUUGCAAGGUGUACACACAUCCCGUUCA